rnacentral:rRNA from 1 species
GAUGAACGCUGGCGGCGUGCCUAAUACAUGCAAGUCGAGCGAACGGACGAGAAGCUUGCUUCUCUGAUGUUAGCGGCGGACGGGUGAGUAACACGUGGAUAACCUACCUAUAAGACCGGGAUAACUUCGGGAAACCGGAGCUAAUACCGGAUAAUAUUUUGAACCGCGUGGUUCAAAAGUGAAAGACGGUCUUGCUGUCACUUAUAGAUGGAUCCGCGCUGCAUUAGCUAGUUGGUAAGGUAACGGCUUACCAAGGCAACGAUGCAUAGCCGACCUGAGAGGGUGAUCGGCCACACUGGAACUGAGACACGGUCCAGACUCCUACGGGAGGCAGCAGUAGGGAAUCUUCCGCAAUGGGCGAAAGCCUGACGGAGCAACGCCGCGUGAGUGAUGAAGGUCUUCGGAUCGUAAAACUCUGUUAUUAGGGAAGAACAUAUGUGUAAGUAACUGUGCACAUCUUGACGGUACCUAAUCAGAAAGCCACGGCUAACUACGUGCCAGCAGCCGCGGUAAUACGUAGGUGGCAAGCGUUAUCCGGAAUUAUUGGGCGUAAAGCGCGCGUAGGCGGUUUUUUAAGUCUGAUGUGAAAGCCCACGGCUCAACCGUGGAGGGUCAUUGGAAACUGGAAAACUUGAGUGCAGAAGAGGAAAGUGGAAUUCCAUGUGUAGCGGUGAAAUGCGCAGAGAUAUGGAGGAACACCAGUGGCGAAGGCGACUUUCUGGUCUGUAACUGACGCUGAUGUGCGAAAGCGUGGGGAUCAAACAGGAUUAGAUACCCUGGUAGUCCACGCCGUAAACGAUGAGUGCUAAGUGUUAGGGGGUUUCCGCCCCUUAGUGCUGCAGCUAACGCAUUAAGCACUCCGCCUGGGGAGUACGACCGCAAGGUUGAAACUCAAAGGAAUUGACGGGGACCCGCACAAGCGGUGGAGCAUGUGGUUUAAUUCGAAGCAACGCGAAGAACCUUACCAAAUCUUGACAUCCUUUGACAACUCUAGAGAUAGAGCUUUCCCCUUCGGGGGACAAAGUGACAGGUGGUGCAUGGUUGUCGUCAGCUCGUGUCGUGAGAUGUUGGGUUAAGUCCCGCAACGAGCGCAACCCUUAAGCUUAGUUGCCAUCAUUAAGUUGGGCACUCUAAGUUGACUGCCGGUGACAAACCGGAGGAAGGUGGGGAUGACGUCAAAUCAUCAUGCCCCUUAUGAUUUGGGCUACACACGUGCUACAAUGGACAAUACAAAGGGCAGCGAAACCGUGAGGUCAAGCAAAUCCCAUAAAGUUGUUCUCAGUUCGGAUUGUAGUCUGCAACUCGACUACAUGAAGCUGGAAUCGCUAGUAAUCGUAGAUCAGCAUGCUACGGUGAAUACGUUCCCGGGUCU